UCCCUGGUGGCUUAAAUGGUAAAGAAUCUGCCUGCUAUACAGGAGAUCCAGGUUUGAUUCCUGGGUGGGGAA
rnacentral:tRNA from 1 species